UUAGUGAUCCAGAGAGGAGGUGUUCAAUGCUUGAUAGAGAUACCUGGCCUGUCUUCUAAGAAUUACAUUACACUCAAUCUGAACAGAAUCCUAAAGUAAAUCAGCAUCACAGAGCCUCAGUCCGUAGCUUCAAUCUGAGUGUGCAUUAUCUCAAAUUUAGACAUCUAAAAAAGGUUUUUCAUUCUCGAGUUUUAGUGCUUUCAAAUUACCUAUCUAAUUAGAUUACUAAAAGUGCUGCAGUGUUCUGGCACUGAACUCUACUUUCAAGCUCAUCUGCUUCUACUUUGUUCUUUCUCACUGAGCCCCCACAAUUCUGAUUCCUCAAACACACUCCUGUCUUAAGGCUUUCCUCUUCUUUUCCUUCUGUUAGCAACGCUUUCUCCCUGGAUAUUCCCAUUUAAGACCAACUCCCUUACUUCAUGUGGGUUUCUGUUUAAAUGUCAUCUCCUCAAGAAGAGGUCAUGCUAGUUAAACCAGCUAAGAAAGAGUCGUCAUCAUAUUUAUCCUCCCUCACUCUUGGUCACAGAAUUUAUUACUAUCUGAAAUUAUAUAGAACAUCCAGCUGUAAUCAGCCAUCUCUCCAGAAAAACUCAGGCUUACUGAGAACAGGGCAACUCCUUAGAAUCUUCUGCAACAAGAACAAUGGUUGGAAUAUUUAUUUACGGAAUACGAGGACAAACCCUGAGCUCAUAGAGUUUACAUUCCAACACAAGAGAAUAACUAGCAAACAAACAAGAGUGAAGAAACCAGUCCAUAGAAGGAUGUCUUGA
rnacentral:lncRNA from 1 species